GUAUAGAUAGUUUAGGUUUGUUUUAAAAUAAUUCCUUGAAAAGGAGUAGAGACGUAGGAACGCGUUUUAUGCA
rnacentral:tRNA from 1 species